GUCCUGGCUCAGAUGACGCUGGCGGCAGGCCUAACACAUGCAAGUCGAGCGGCAGCGGGUCCUUCGGGAUGCCGGCGAGCGGCGGACGGGUGAGGAAUGCAUCGGAAUCUGCCCUGUCGUGGGGGAUAACCUAGGGAAACUUAGGCUAAUACCGCAUACGACCCACGGGUGAAAGCGGGGGAUCGCAAGACCUCGCGCGAUAGGAUGAGCCGAUGUCCGAUUAGCUAGUUGGCGGGGUAAAGGCCCACCAAGGCGACGAUCGGUAGCUGGUCUGAGAGGAUGAUCAGCCACACUGGGACUGAGACACGGCCCAGACUCCUACGGGAGGCAGCAAUCGAAUUCCCGCUGCCACA
rnacentral:rRNA from 1 species